CUAUUUUCAUUCAUUGUGUAGUAGUAUUUCAAGAUUACAGUGAAUCGAAAACGUUCAGAUUCCUAAAAAGACAGAGUACAUAGUAAAGAAAAUUAAAACGUCUAAACGGGAAUUGGAAACACACCGCCGAUUGAAGCCCUAACCGCCGUCCGCCGUCCGCCGUAGAGCCUGUUUUAAAUCCCCAAACUGCUUCACAAAUUCCACACUCAAGCCCCAUCCAAUCCUCUUUCAAUCUCGAUCAGAAGCCCGAAGGCCUCUUUUCGUUUUAGAUUUUUUUUUAAUAUAAUAUUCUUUCAAUUCAUUUCAGAAAAAGCACUUUUAGUUCUUGUUCUUAAGGAGAAUCGAUCGAAGUUCGGCAACAUCGAUCUCAUCAGAGCGAUUCUCCGGUCGGUAAUAUCCAGUAACAGGAUCCGGCACCCAAGAAACCUUCUCAGAUGAUCCAGCAACCUUCUCCUCUCCCGAUUUCUUCAACAGAUUACUGUUCCUCGCCGCCGCAACACUUCCUCCUUUAACCGCACUCGACGCAACUCCUUGAGAAGCCGCAGCCGCAGCGUAACCACGCCUGCUGAGAGCGGAAGAGAAUCCAUCGGAAACGAGAGCGGAGAUGAGCUUAACGUUGGAGAAAGAGCGAGCCAUUGGAAUUGAAUAUGAUAAAACUGAAAAUGGUGCUGCUAGUGGAGAAAAGAUUUUCUUCGGAACAAGAAUAUUGGAACGUUGUUCGUUUCUGGAGAAAAUCCUCCACAGCAGCGGAAGGGAAAGCUGAGAGAGAAGUGGCUUGAGCUCUGUGCGUGUAAAAAUGGAGCAGUUUGUGUUUUGAAAAUGGGGAUGAGG
rnacentral:misc_RNA from 1 species